rnacentral:rRNA from 1 species
CUCGGGCUAAUACCGAAUGUGCCCUCUGGCCUCAAUGCCUCUGGGGAAAGUGAAGCUUCGGGCCUCCGCAUCGGGAUGGGCCCGCGGCGCAUUAGCUUGUUGGUGAGUGUAACGGCUCACCAAGGCGACGAUGCGUAGCUGGUCUGAGAGGACGAUCAGCCACACUGGGACUGAGACACGGCCCAGACUCCUACGGGAGGCAGCAGUGGGGAAUCUUGCGCAAUGCGCGAAAGCGUGACGCAGCAACGCCGCGUGGGGGAAGAAGGCCUUCGGGUUGUAAACCCCUUUCAGUUGGGACGAAGCUUCGGCGGUGAAUAGCCGUUUGGAGUGACGGUACCUUCAGAAGAAGCCCCGGCUAACUACGUGCCAGCAGCCGCGGUAAUACGUAGGGGGCAAGCGUUGUCCGGAAUCAUUGGGCGUAAAGAGCGUGUAGGCGGCUUGGUAAGUCCGCUGUGAAAGUCCAGGGGCUCAACCCUGGAAUGCCGGUGGAAACUGUCA